AUACGUAGGGGGCGAGCGUUGUCCGGAAUGAUUGGGCGUAAAGGGCGCGUAGGCGGCCCGGUAAGUCUGGAGUGAAAGUCCUGUUUUUAAGAUGGGAAUUGCUUUGGAUACUGUCGGGCUUGAGUGCAGGAGAGGUAAGUGGAAUUCCCAGUGUAGCGGUGAAAUGCGUAGAGAUUGGGAGGAACACCAGUGGCGAAGGCGACUUACUGGACUGUAACUGACGCUGAGGCGCGAAAGUGUGGGGAGCAAACAGGAUUAGAUACCCUGGUAGUCCACACUGUAAACCAUGAAUGCUAGGUGUAGGGGGUAUCGACCCCUUCUGUGCCGCAGUCAACACAAUAAGCAUUCCGCCUGGGGAGUACGGCCGCAAGGUUGAAACUCAAAUGAAUUGGCGGGG
rnacentral:rRNA from 1 species